GACGAACGCUGGCGGCGUGCUUCAUACAUGCAAGUCGAGCGGGGUCCAUCCAGUGGCAACACUGGCGAAGACCUAGCGGCGAACGGGUGAGUAACACGUGAGGAACCUGCCCCAGAGACCGGGAUAACCCUCCGAAAGGAGAGCUAAUACCGGAUGCCCCCACUGGAUCGCAUGGUCUGGUGAGGAAAUGGAUUCCGCUCUGGGAGGGCCUCGCGGCCUAUCAGCUUGUUGGUGAGGUAACGGCUCACCAAGGCGUCGACGGGUAGCUGGUCUGAGAGGACGGUCAGCCACACUGGGACUGAGACACGGCCCAGACUCCUACGGGAGGCAGCAGUAGGGAAUCUUGCGCAAUGGGCGAAAGCCUGACGCAGCAACGCCGCGUGGGGGAUGAAGGCUCUCGGGUUGUAAACCCCUUUCAGCAGGGACGAUUAUGACGGUACUUGCAGAAGAAAGACCGGCCAACUACGUGCCAGCAGCCGCGGUAA
rnacentral:rRNA from 1 species